rnacentral:rRNA from 1 species
UUCUGCCCUAUCAACUUGUUGGUAAGGUAUUGGCUUACCAAGGUUGCAACGGGUAACGGGGAAUCAGGGUUCGAUUCCGGAGAGGGAGCCUGAGAAACGGCUACCACAUCCAAGGAAGGCAGCAGGCGCGCAAAUUACCCAAUCUAGACAGUAGGAGGUGGUGAAGAGAAGUACUUAGUGGUGGCCUAAUGGUCCCAACUAGGAAUGAACGUAAUUUAAGCAAUUCGAUGAGUAACUACUGGAGGGCAAGUCCUGGUGCCAGCAGCCGCGGUAAUUCCAGCUCCAGUGGCGUGAUUUAAAGUUGCUGCGUUUAAAACGCUCGUAGUUGGAUCACGCAGUAGCAUACAGUUACACAGAUUGGUUUAUUUGACGAUUUUCUUUCAAAGAUUAUUGAAUUUUGGCUAGUCUGUGUGUUAACGCUGUAUGCUGCUAUUUGCACACAAGUAUGGUAUUUGGCCUUUAGUGAGUCGAGUAUCAUGUCUUGUGGGGUGUGCCUUGAAUAAAACAGAGUGCUCAAAGCAGGCGAACGCUUGAAUGUUAUAGCAUGGAACGAACAAACGUGUAUUUGCGUAUAUUUGAUAAGGUCGAGGGCAACUUUGACCUGUUGGAUAUAUGCAGCACCCGCCAAAAUACGGAUGUUGGUUUUCGUAUAAGGUGAUGAUUAACAGGAGCGGUUGGGGGCAUUGGUAUUUGGCCGCGAGAGGUGAAAUUCUUGGACCGGCCAAGGACUAACAGAUGCGAAGGCGUUUGUCUAGACCGUUUCCAUUAAUCAAGAACGAAAGUGGGAGGUUCGAAGACGAUCAGAUACCGUCCUAGUUCCCACUAUAAACUAUGCCGACCUGGGAUCAGUUUAGUGAUUAACAAGCACUAGGUUGGUCC